rnacentral:rRNA from 1 species
UACGUAGGGACCAAGCGUUGUUCGGAUUUACUGGGCGUAAAGGGCGCGUAGGCGGCAAUUCAAGUCACUUGUGAAAUCUCUGAGCUUAACUCAGAACGGUCAAGUGAUACUGCUUUGCUAGAGUGCAGAAGGGGCAACCGGAAUUCUUGGUGUAGCGGUGAAAUGCGUAGAUAUCAGGAGGAAUACCGGUGGCGAAAGCGACUCUCUGGACGGCAACUGACGCUGAGGCACGAAGCGUGGGGAGCAAACAGG